AAAUAAGAAGGACUAAAGAACUUACCCUCGUCAGAGAUUUACUCUGUAAGUGAGCAUGGUUGUUGAAUAUGUGACCAGUCUAAGUAGUGAGGCAACACAGAGUGGAAGAAUAUCUGGAUUUUGUUAUUGGCUCCUGUACUUCUCAGCUGUGUACAAAGCAAACCUUGCUUUACAGGAACUUUGGCUCUCUAUUUACAAGUCCCUGGAAAGUAAUACAGUGGAGGAGGACCCCCAUGAUUACAUUCUGCGAGAGGAGUUCCUAAGCAUUGCAGCAUGAAAAACAGUGCUUAAAAGCUUAAGCAAUAUUUUUCAAAAUAUUGACCUAUCUCAGUAGGAACUGAGAUAGGCAACAAAUCUGACUGACAGAAUACAUUUCAAACUUUCAAAAUUGUGUCUUCCUCUUACUGUGGGUCCUUACCCCUGAACAAAGUUCAUCACACCUGGCUUCACGUUGCAGGGUAUAUUUUUUUGAUGCCUGCCUUAUCUGGCUUCCAGUCAUGCCCUGGAAUUUGAGUGUCUCUCAAAUGUAAAAAUCAAAAAGUAUAUUGUAAAAAUGUCUAUACUAUGCAAAGUAAUAUACAGAUUCAAUGCAAUUUCUAUCAAGAUUCCAAUGACAUUUUUCACAGAAAUAGAAAAAAAUCUAAAAUUUAUAUGAAAACAUCAAAGACAUCAAAUAGCCAAAACAAUCUUGAACAAAAAGAACAAAGCUGGAAGCAUUACACUAUUUGAUUUCAAAAUGUACUGCAAAGCUAUAGCAAUCAAAACAACAUGGUACUGGCACAAAAACAGAAAUAUGGACCAAUGAAAUUGAACAGAGAGCCCAGAAAUAAAUUCACCCAUUUACAGUUAACUGAUCUUCAACAAAAGUGCCAAGAUCAUACAACUGAGAAAGGACAGUCUCUUCAAUAAAUGGUGCUGGAAAAACUUGAUAUCCACAUGCAGAAGAAUGAAAUUGGACCCUUAUUUCAUCCCAUAUACAAAAAUCAACAUAAAAUGGAUUAAAGACUUAAAUGUAAGACCAGAAACUAUAAAACUAUUAGAAGAAAACCUAGAGACAUUGACAUUGGUCUUGGCAAAGAUUUUUUGGAUAUGACCCCAAAAGCACAGGCAGCAAAAGCAAAACUAGACAAAUGGAAUUACAUCAAACCAAAAAAAUAGCUUCACAGCAAAAGAAGCAAUCAACAGAGUGAAGAGAAAACCUAUGCAAUGGGAGAAAAUAUAUGUAAAUCAUACAUGAAAUAAGGAACUAAUAUCCAAAAUAUAUAAGAAAUUCAAACAUCUGAACAGCAAAAAAAAAAAAAAAAAGAAAAUUUAAAAAUGGGCAAAAGAUCUGAACAGACAUUUCUGCAAACAGAAUGUAUGAAAGGCCAACAGGUAUAUGAAGAGAUGCUCAACAUCACUAAUCAUUGGAGAAAUGCAAAUUAAAACCACAAUUAGAUAUCUAUCAUCUCACCUCUCUAAGAUAAGCAUUUGCAAAAAUGUGGAGAAAAGAGGACCCUUGCACGCAGUUGGUGGAAAUGUACAUUAGUAUAGCCUCAUGGAAAAUAGUAUGGAGGUUCCUCAAAAAAUUAAAAAUAGGACUACCAUAUGAUCCAGCAAUCUCACUUCUGAAUAUGUAUCCAAAGGAAAUGAAAUCAGUAUGGUAAAAAGAUAUCUGCAUUCCCAUAUUCAUUGCAACAUUACUUGCAAUAGCCAAGAUAGGGAAUCAACUGAUGAAUGAAUAAAGAAAAUGUGGUAUACAUAAUAUAAUGGAAUACCAUUUUGCCUUAAAAAGGAGGAAAUCGGGUCAUCUGCAACAAGCUAAGUGAAAAAAACCAGGCACAGAAGGACAAAUACUGUAUGAUCUCACUUACAUGUGGAAUUUAAAAAAGUUUAACUCAUAGAAGCAAAGGGUAGAAUAGUGGUUGCCAGGGACUGGGGCUAGGGGUGGGAGCAGGGAAUGGGGAGUUAUGGUCAAAGACUACAAAGUUUCAAAUAGACAGGAGGAAUAAGAUCUGGUGAACUAUAGUACAGCAUGUGACUAUAGUUAAUAAUAUUGUAUUGUACACUUGAAAGUUGCUAAGAGAGUAGAUUUAAAUGUUCUCAUCACCAAAAAUGAUAAAUAUAUGCAGAAGUGACAGAUAUAUUAAUUUGAUUUAAUUGUUCCACUGUGUAUACAUAUAUCAAAACAUCAUGUUAUACACCAUACAUAUAUACAAUUUUUCACCUUGCCAAUUAGAAAUAAAAAUUAUUCAUAUAAAAUAAAAAUAAAAAUAAAAAAUAAAAUUCAAAUUCAUAACCCAAAUUUCCCUAGACCUCUGCUUCCUCUGCAUAUAACAUGUUUGAGUCUCGCCUAAACUCAAAUUGGACCUCCACAGUCUUAGCAAAACUCUUUUAGAAAGUGCAAUAAUAUUUCUUAAUAAUCUGUCCCAGGUUAUCACUUUCCAUAAGAAUAUCCUUUUUUGAGUUCUCCUUGAAACCAUAGUUCAAAACAAAUGUGUUUGUUCUUGCAUUAUUUUUGGUAGAGAGAAGAACUAUGUGAUAAGAUAAACCUUAAGAUAAAUCCAUGUCUAUUGGGGAUAAAAGUUUUCAGUUAUUCUGCUCUUCACAAACUAACCCUAGUUCCUCUAAUCUUAAAGGUUUUAGCUUUCAACUUUUAGUUAUUUGAAUUUUGGGGGAAAGAUCUCACAUCAAUUUCUCCAUGUUAAGAUUUAAAUAACCAAACUGGAAGUUAAGUUUUUUUUUCUUUUUUGACAGAGUCUAGCUCUGUCGCCCAGGCUGGAGUGCAGUGGUGCGAUCUGGGCUCACUGCCAGCUCCGCCUCCCGGGUUCACGCCAUUCUCCUGCCUCAGCCUCCCCAGUAGCUGGGACUACAGGCGCCCACCACCACGUCCGGCUAAUUUUUUGUAUUUUUAGUAGAGACGGGGUUUCACCGUGUUAGCCAGGAUGGUCUCGAUCUCCCGACCUCAUAAUCCGCCUGCCUCGGCCUCCCAAAGUGCUGGGAUUACAAGCGUGAGCCACCGCGCCGUGCCUGGAAAUGAAUUUUUUACACACCAAGUGAAAAUAAGUGGUAUACAUUUUCACAGGAAAUUUUCCCACAAUAAAAUUUCUAGAUGGAAGUUCAAGUCCUUGUGCCUGAGCUCCUUAGAUUAAAAAGCAUAGCAGUUAUUUAACACUCUUUUAAAAAAGAAAGUAUGAAGACAUGGUGAAACUAUUUUGCUUAUCACAUUGACAUUCCUUUGAGAAGAAAGAAAGAAAAUGACAUGUGGUUGGGAAUUCUUCAGUUUAGCCCUAUAGAGAUUUUUAAAAAUGUUUUAACUUUCAAAGGCGCUUUUAUAGAGCUAUAAAAUUGCCUGUCUCCUCUCCAGGCUAUGCUGUACACAAAUGCAAUUCUAAUUUUUAUCGAAUGCUACUUUGAUCAUUCAGCUGCUUGAUCAAAAUCAAUAAUGACUUAUGGUGUUUCAGAUCAUGUCUAUACUUUUCAAGACCCUUAAUAAUCUGCCUCCAUCCUACCUAUCCUACAUUCUAUUUCACAUUUCCCUAUAAUAAUCUUUGUUAUUACCUUACUGCCUUUCUCUGUCCCUGUCAACUGCAACACAUAAGGGUUUGUAUAUAAAACAUGCACACACACACACACACAUACACACACACACACACAUUUCAUGCAUAUUCUGGCCUUGGGACUUUUACUUAUGCGUUUUUCCUUUUCUGAUGUCUACGUAUGUAUAGUUUUUCUCUUAGCAACAUCUAAACUUCUUUAAAAGUCACCACAAAUUCUACUUUCUUCCAAGAAGCUCCCCGAUGACCGUAACCUACAUUAUCCAUCCACUUUUUUUUUUUUUUUUUUGGUAGGGUCUUGCUCUGUUUCCCAGGCUAGAGUGCAGUGGUAUGAUCACAGCUCACUGCAGCCUUGGCCUCCUGGGCUCAAGCAAUCCUCCCACUUCAGCCUCCCAAGUAGCUGGAACCACAGGCUCAUGCCAACAUGCCCAGCUAAUUUUUAUUUAUUUAUUUUUUCAUUUAUUUUGUAGAGAUAAGAUCUUGCUGUGUUGCCCAGGCUGGUCUCAAGACUCCUGGCUCAAAUGAUCCUCCCACUUCGGCCUCCCAAAGUGCUGGGAUUAAAGGCAUGAGCCACCACUCCUAGGCCACUUUCUUAUUCCUGUUACUUAUUUAGGGUGACACUGUCCAAGACUUGCCUAAAUACCAUUUUAUAGUGUUUCUUUUUUAAUGAACAUAUAAACUGUGUUGUGAUCUUUUGUUUGUUUGUUUGUUUGUUUUUAUUAUUAUUAUUAUACUUUAAGUUUUAGGGUACAUGUGCACAAUGUGCAGGUUAGUUACAUAUGUAUACAUGUGCCAUGCUGGUGUGCUGCACCCAUUAACUCGUCAUUUAGCAUUAGGUAUAUCUCCUAAUGCUAACUCUCCCCCCUCCCCCCACCCCACAACAGGCCCCAGAGUGUGAUGUUCCCCUUCCUGUGUCCAUGUGUUCUCAUUGUUCAGUUCCCAUCUAUGAGUGAGAACAUGCGGUGUUUGGUUUUUUGUCCUUGCAAUAGUUUACUGAGAAUGAUGAUUUCCAGUUUCAUUCAUG
rnacentral:lncRNA from 10 species